GAAAAAAAAAUCAUUGAUUUCUUCUGUCUGUCUCUUGUUACCGUGCUCCAUGUAGUUGUCCCUGCUUCAAGGCAAGGAGAAGAAGUUUACCUUGGUUCAUGCCCUCGUGGAACAGAUCCUUUUACACCAGCCCCAUUUGGCCAAGUUUCCUCAGGAACUGAUGGAAUUUGAAGCUGCUCCUGGAGCAUCUAUCAAAGGCCUCAAGGCUGAAGUGGAUGGAUCUAAUUCAGAAGUGUGAAGAGGACCUUUGUCAGCUGUCAAAAAGAUGUGAUGAAAUGAAGAAACUCUAUGGUGACAUUCCGGUAAAUGGUGUAUUUAAAAAAUAAUUCAAAUACAUCUUGCAUUAAAAAAAUGUAUAAAAUGUUCAAACCUUCAUAUAUCUGAAGUAAUACUGUGAUAUUAGAGUUUCUAUCUAAAAUAUUAAUAGAAUGGAAGAAUUUUAACAUAGAUGACAAAUUCCAGGUCUCACUCUUUUUUUUUUUAACAUAUGAGAAAUGAAAUGCUUUCAAUUAGUAUUUUGAUUUUCUCAUGGGAUAUUAUUUUAAACAAAUGGAUUUAAAAGGCUAUGUGUAGAAGAAGAAAGACCACAUCCUUUUAUAUUAAUUCAAAAGCUUCAACAUGGUUACUUCUGAGAAUCUGUAUCUUUCUAUGAUGCAGCUAAAGUGAAUGCAAAGUCUGAUGAAGUUGGGGUGACCCAAGGUGACCCCUGGCUGAACAAAAUCAGUGAUUAAAAGAGUUUACAAUCAGAGGAUUUAAUGUUUA
rnacentral:lncRNA from 1 species